UCGUGCGACGGGUGAGUAUACGCAGAAUUUUUCCUUUUAGUUUAGUUCAAAAAUUUUUUUAAAGAAAUUAAAUGCUAAAUAAAAUAAAAAAGGUUCACAUUUGUGUUCCGCUAAAAGAUAAAUCUGCUUAAGAUUAGGUUGUUGGUAAUUUAACAGUUUACCAAGCCUGUGAUCUUUAGUUGGUCUUAGAGGAUGAUCAACCACACUGGAACUGAAAUAAGGUCCAGGCUGACUUGUCGGCCAGCAGUGAGGAAUAUUGGACAAUGAACGAAAGUUUGAUCCAGCAAUACUAAUUGGGUGAUGACGGCUUAUUUAAGUUGUAAGAUCCUUUAAUUAAAGAAGAUAAUGACAUUAUUUAAUUGAAUUAGUCCUGGCUAAUACUCGUGCCAGCAGCCGCGGUAAUACGGGAAGGGCAAGCGUUAUCCGGCAUGACUGGGCGUAAAGAGUCCGUAGACGGCAAAGUAAGUUUUUUGUUAAAUCUUAAAACUUAAUUUUAAAAGAGCAAUUAAUACUGCUUUGCUUCGAGUUUACUACAGAAGAGUAGAAUUUUAUACGAAGGGGUGAAAUCUAUAGAUAUAUAAAGGAAUGCCAGUAGCGAAGGCGACUCUUUAGUAUAAACUGACGUUGAGGGACGAAAGUGUGGGUAGCAAACAGGAUUAGAGACCCUGGUAGUCCACACCGUAAAUUCUGAGUGCUGUGAUUUAAUUGUAAUAUUUAAAAUAUUACUUAGAUCUUCAAGCUAACGCAAUAAGCACUCCGCCUGAAGAGUACGAUCGCAAGAUUGGAACUCAAAGGAAUUGACGGGGGUCUAACACUAGUGGUGGAGCAUGUGGUUUAAUGCGAUAAUCCGCGCAAAACCUUACCAAUUCUUGACAUAAUUAGAUUGUUUUUUAAUUCAGUGUACGAAUUCAAAAUAAGAUCUUUUUACAGUGUUGCACGACUGUCGUCAGCUCGUGUCGUGAGAUGUUUGGUUAAGUCCUGAACGGGCGCAACUCUACUUUUAAUAAGUAAUACGU
rnacentral:rRNA from 1 species